UGGUCCUGGCCUUGUAAUCAAUUGUUACUUAACUUAUACAUGCAAGUCUCCGCACCCCUGUGAGAACGCCCUUAGUAUUCUUCUUGAAACAAGGAGCCGGUAUCAGGCGCAAUAAUUUGCCCAAGACACCUAGCCACGCCACAUCCACAAGGAACUUCAGCAGUAAUUAACAUUGAGCAUAAGUGUCAACUUGACUCAGUUAAAGUAAAAAGAGCCGGCUAAUAUGGUGCCAGCCGCCGCGGUUACACCACGAGGCUCAAAUUGAUUACCUUCGGCGUAAAGCGUGAUUAAAGUAUUUUUAAAUUAUAGUUGCAUUAUAACUAAGCUGUGACACGCUUGUCUAUGAAAAACCCAGAAACGAAAGUUACUAUAAAAUCUACAACUUGAAUCCACGACAGCUAAGACACAAACUGGGAUUAGAUACCCCACUAUGCUUAGCCGUAAACUUUAAAUUACAUCCAUAUCGCCAGGGAACUACGAGCAAAGCUUAAAACCCAAAGGACUUGACGGUACCCCAUAUCCACCUAGAGGAGCCUGUCCUGUAAUUGAUAACCCCCGCUUAACCUCACCAUUUUUAGCCUAUCAGCCUGUAUACCUCCGUCGUCAGCUUACCACGUGAGCGCUACUUAGUGAGCUCAAUGUCUUUACAUCAAUACGUCAGGUCAAGGUGCAGUAAAUAAAAUGGGAAGAGAUGGGCUACACUCUCUAAUUUAGAUAAUACGAAUGACUAUUUAUGAAAUCUAGUCGGAAGGCGGAUUUAGUAGUAAAAAGAGACAAGAGAGCUCUUUUUAACUUGGCACUGGGGUGUGUACACACCGCCCGUCACCCUCUUCGAAGCCAAUAGACAGUAAUUAACCACACUCAGCAUACAAGAAGAGGCAAGUCGUAACAUGGUAAGCGUACCGGAAGGUGUGCUUGGAAA
rnacentral:ncRNA from 1 species